rnacentral:rRNA from 1 species
UCCACGCUGUAAACGAUGCUGACUAGAUAUUGGAAGUUCGACCCUUUCGGUAUCGUAGCUAACGCGUUAAGUCAGCCGCCUGGGGAGUACGGUCGCAAGACUAAAACUCAAAGGAAUUGACGGGGACCCGCACAAGCGGUGGAGCAUGUGGUUUAAUUCGACAGUAAGCGAGGAACCUUACCAAGGCUUGUAUCUACCGAACCCUGCCGAAACGCGGGGGUGCCCUUUUUGGGAGCGGUAUGACAGGUGUUGCACGGCUGUCGUCAGCUCGUGUCGUGAGAUGUACGGUUAAAUCCG